GACGAACGCUGGCGGCGUGCCUAAUACAUGCAAGUAGAACGCUGAAGAGAGGAGCUUGCUCUUCUUGGAUGAGUUGCGAACGGGUGAGUAACGCGUAGGUAACCUGCCUGGUAGCGGGGGAUAACUAUUGGAAACGAUAGCUAAUACCGCAUAAUAUUAAUUAUUGCAUGAUAAUUAAUUGAAAGGUGCAAUUGCACCACUACCAGAUGGACCUGCGUUGUAUUAGCAAGUAGGUGAGGUAACGGCUCACCUAGGCGACGAUACAUAGCCGACCUGAGAGGGUGAUCGGCCACGCUGGGACUGAGACACGGCCCAGACUCCUACGGGAGGCAGCAGUAGGGAAUCUUCGGCAAUGGACGAAAGUCUGACCGAGCAACGCCGCGUGAGUGAAGAAGGUUUACGGAUCGUAAAGCUCUGUUGUAAGAGAAGAACGGGUGUGAGAGUGGAAAGUUCACACUGUGACGGUAUCUUACCAGAAAGGGACGGCUAACUACGUGC
rnacentral:rRNA from 1 species